AUUGAACGCUGGCGGCAGGCCUAACACAUGCAAGUCGAGCGAGCGGCGGACGGGUGAGUAAUGUAUGGGGACUGCCCGAUAGAGGGGGAUAACUACUGGAAACUGUAGCUAAUACCGCAUACUAUCGGAUAACCCAUAUGGGAUUAGCUAGUAGGUGGUGUAAAGUCUAACCUGGGCGACGAUCUCUAGCUGGUCUUAGAGGAUGAUCAGCCACAUUGGGAGUGAGACACGGCCAAGACGCUUACGGAGGCAGAAGGGGGGAAUAGUGCACAAUGGGCGCAAGCCUGAUGCAGCCAGGCCGCGUGUAUGAAGAGGGCCUUAGGGUUGUAAAGUACUUUCAGCGGGGAGGCGUUACUCGCAGAAGAAGCACCGGCUAACUACGUGCCAGCAGCCGCGGUAAUUC
rnacentral:rRNA from 1 species